UAAAAUAAAGGGGACAGAGGUGGAUGUCACUCCUGCCAGGGAGGUAAGCUUUCUCUCCUUAGUGGCUUAAGGUCCGUAGGUCACUCACUCAGCCUUAGCCAAGGGGUGGGGUGCGGGGAGGGGGUUGUUACAGCUCCUGAAACCAAGCAGGGCAGCUC